rnacentral:rRNA from 1 species
CGGGACACGUGGUAUCCUGUCUGAAUAUGGGGGGACCAUCCUCCAAGGCUAAAUACUCCUGACUGACCGAUAGUGAACCAGUACCGUGAGGGAAAGGCGAAAAGAACCCCGGCGAGGGGAGUGAAAAAGAACCUGAAACCGUGUACGUACAAGCAGUGGGAGCACAGAGCAAUCUGUGUGACUGCGUACCUUUUGUAUAAUGGGUCAGCGACUUAUAUUCUGUAGCAAGGUUAACCGAAUAGGGGAGCCGAAGGGAAACCGAGUCUUAACCGGGCGUUAAGUUGCAGGGUAUAGACCCGAAACCCGGUGAUCUAGCCAUGGGCAGGUUGAAGGUUGGGUAACACUAACUGGAGGACCGAACCGACUAAUGUUGAAAAAUUAGCGGAUGACUUGUGGCUGGGGGUGAAAGGCCAAUCAAACCGGGAGAUAGCUGGUUCUCCCCGAAAGCUAUUUAGGUAGCGCCUCGUGAAUUCAUCUCCGGGGGUAGAGCACUGUUUCGGCAAGGGGGUCAUCCCGACUUACCAACCCGAUGCAAACUGCGAAUACCGGAGAAUGUUAUCACGGGAGACACACGGCGGGUGCUAACGUCCGUCGUGAAGAGGGAAACAACCCAGACCGCCAGCUAAGGUCCCAAAGUCAUGGUUAAGUGGGAAACGAUGUGGGAAGGCCCAGACAGCCAGGAUGUUGGCUUAGAAGCAGCCAUCAUUUAAAGAAAGCGUAAUAGCUCACUGGUCGAGUCGGCCUGCGCGGAAGAUGUAACGGGGCUAAACCAUGCACCGAAGCUGCGGCAGCGACACUGUGUGUUGUUGGGUAGGGGAGCGUUCUGUAAGCCUGUGAAGGUGUGCUGUGAGGCAUGCUGGAGGUAUCAGAAGUGCGAAUGCUGACAUAAGUAACGAUAAAGCGGGUGAAAAGCCCGCUCGCCGGAAGACCAAGGGUUCCUGUCCAACGUUAAUCGGGGCAGGGUGAGUCGACCCCUAAGGCGAGGCCGAAAGGCGUAGUCGAUGGGAAACAGGUUAAUAUUCCUGUACUUGGUGUUACUGCGAAGGGGGGACGGAGAAGGCUAUGUUGGCCGGGCGACGGUUGUCCCGGUUUAAGCGUGUAGGCUGGUUUUCCAGGCAAAUCCGGAAAAUCAAGGCUGAGGCGUGAUGACGAGGCACUACGGUGCUGAAGCAACAAAUGCCCUGCUUCCAGGAAAAGCCUCUAAGCAUCAGGUAACAUCAAAUCGUACCCCAAACCGACACAGGUGGUCAGGUAGAGAAUACCAAGGCGCUUGAGAGAACUCGGGUGAAGGAACUAGGCAAAAUGGUGCCGUAACUUCGGGAGAAGGCACGCUGAUAUGUAGGUGAAGUCCCUCGCGGAUGGAGCUGAAAUCAGUCGAAGAUACCAGCUGGCUGCAACUGUUUAUUAAAAACACAGCACUGUGCAAACACGAAAGUGGACGUAUACGGUGUGACGCCUGCCCGGUGCCGGAAGGUUAAUUGAUGGGGUCAGCGCAAGCGAAGCUCUUGAUCGAAGCCCCGGUAAACGGCGGCCGUAACUAUAACGGUCCUAAGGUAGCGAAAUUCCUUGUCGGGUAAGUUCCGACCUGCACGAAUGGCGUAAUGAUGGCCAGGCUGUCUCCACCCGAGACUCAGUGAAAUUGAACUCGCUGUGAAGAUGCAGUGUACCCGCGGCAAGACGGAAAGACCCCGUGAACCUUUACUAUAGCUUGACACUGAACAUUGAGCCUUGAUGUGUAGGAUAGGUGGGAGGCUUUGAAGUGUGGACGCCAGUCUGCAUGGAGCCGACCUUGAAAUACCACCCUUUAAUGUUUGAUGUUCUAACGUGGACCCGUGAUCCGGGUUGCGGACAGUGUCUGGUGGGUAGUUUGACUGGGGCGGUCUCCUCCUAAAGAGUAACGGAGGAGCACGAAGGUUGGCUAAUCCUGGUCGGACAUCAGGAGGUUAGUGCAAUGGCAUAAGCCAGCUUGACUGCGAGCGUGACGGCGCGAGCAGGUGCGAAAGCAGGUCAUAGUGAUCCGGUGGUUCUGAAUGGAAGGGCCAUCGCUCAACGGAUAAAAGGUACUCCGGGGAUAACAGGCUGAUACCGCCCAAGAGUUCAUAUCGACGGCGGUGUUUGGCACCUCGAUGUCGGCUCAUCACAUCCUGGGGCUGAAGUAGGUCCCAAGGGUAUGGCUGUUCGCCAUUUAAAGUGGUACGCGAGCUGGGUUUAGAACGUCGUGAGACAGUUCGGUCCCUAUCUGCCGUGGGCGCUGGAGAACUGAGGGGGGCUGCUCCUAGUACGAGAGGACCGGAGUGGACGCAUCACUGGUGUUCGGGUUGUCAUGCCAAUGGCACUGCCCGGUAGCUAAAUGCGGAAGAGAUAAGUGCUGAAAGCAUCUAAGCACGAAACUUGCCCCGAGAUGAGUUCUCCCUGACCCUUUAAGGGUCC